UCGGGAGUGGAUUUGCUCUCUUAUUUUUUUUUAUGAAAAUAAAUUAUACUAGGAUAGUUGAAAGUACUAUCUCAAACAUUAGCACAGAAUAAUUUGCGUUCUGGAGAUGGUUUCUUCCAGUUAUGCAGUCAUUCAUCUCGCCUUCGUGAAGGUGCAAGAUGAUUUUAGGAUAAGAUUUAAUUUUGCUGAGGAUUCUGGAAUGCCAUCAAUUGACUCCAGUGAUGAAUCCCUUAACUUGUCCAGUUAUCUGUAUCGAUAUAGCCAUCAACUUGACAAAGAUUGGAUGUUUCUGAGGAUGUUUACAGUUUCUAUCCACAGGUGGAGUGAUGCAGGGAAGCUUUUGCAGAACUCGGGACGUAGUGAAUGGGUAUAUCUGGUUGUCACCAUUGAAGCCGUAGCCAAAGAGCUUCUUGAAAGAGUUCUCAACAAAUGCUGUUCAAAUCCUUCAGAGCUGCUCAACUUACUUGAGAGAAUUGCAAACGAAGGACUGAUCAUUUCAUGGCCGAAGUUGGACAAGUUCUUGAUUAUAUUUCGCGGUCAGGUACCGGCUCAUAUCAUCUGGAUCCUGACUUCAUUUACGACUAUUCUCAGUUGUCAGAGAUUUUGGGCUCCGUAAUUGAGGGUCUGGUUUUUCUGGAGAACACCAGUUAUGGCGUCAAUGAUCCUGAUCUUAGAAAACAAGUCUGUGCUUUCCAUGGGGAGCUGAACUUGAUGGAAAGGUACCUUUAAUUUUAUGAUGUAAAUGCUACUUCCAUCUCCAACUUCUGCUGCAUUAGUGGCAGUGAGAAUGUAAUUCAGGCUUUUCUAGCUCAUGUUGCAUCUGUCCUUGUGCGCGCCGCAAUUCAGUACGGUAAUUACUGGAUUGGCCAGAAAACAGAUCAAAUCCAAGUGGCAAACCAUAUGCUCAAUUUUGGACUUGCAUCUUUGCUGCAUGAGAUUGAUCCUACUAAUCUAGAGUUCCUAGAUUCCAGUCACAAUUUCCUAAAAGCUCUAAAUAAAUUCAGCACAUCACAAACUGUUAUGCCAAUAUCUUCUCAAUGGGAGAGGGGACUCUGAUCUUGAAAAUGAGUUCAAGUCUUUGGUGACCUUUGUUAUCUACAAUAAACCAGAGGACAAAAACUCCCAUGAGGAUGUGCGAAGUAUCUGUGCAGAAAUUAUGGCAUUGCUUGCAGAGGCUGCUUCUCGCCAUGAGAUGGGACGGGACAAAGCUGAAGCAAUUUGUCCUUUGUGUUCUGAGCUGCUUAAAAACGCUUGCCUUCUCAAGACAGUGCUUCGUUAAGGAGCAACUGAAAGAAAGAGCUUGUCCUCUGAAAAUUGGAGAAAUCAAUGAGGUUUUGGAAAGUCAGAGAAGAUUUACAACAGAUGUACCCCAUGAGAACAUAGAGAAUGGAAAUCAGAUGUUGGCAUUCACAAAAGAAGUGGCUAAGGAUGUUGCAUCUCUACCUCAGCAUGUCAGCAAAGGAAAAAAAAUCUAUGGUGAAAGAACUCACUUCUCUGUUUGCUUUUCAAGAUUGUGAUUUUCAAGGCAGAGUUAUUUUUGUUUGAGUUACUGAAGAGCACUAAUACAAGUAUUAUGGUUCUUGACAAAUUCUCCCGAGUCAAAUGCACCAGUGAGGUGUCAUUUUGAAGAAAUUCAACUACAUCUUAAUUCAUUGACUCCUUUACUUGUUAACGUCUCAGAGUUGGACAUUGAUAAGCAUCGAGAACUAAAAGUUUUUGGGAAUCAAGUAAUGGAUGUAGCAUACAGAAUUGAAGAUGUUAUCGACUCGCUGGAGUCUGAUGCUCAUAGGCUACAUCUCAUAUGGUUUUAUGAUUUACUAGAUGAAUUAAAACUGCUCAGUGAGGAGGCCUCCAUUAUGCAUGUGACAACCCCUGAUGCUCAAGUCCAAAAUAUCAACAAUGUCACGCAGGUUUCAAGCAACAUGAUAUCAAAGGAUGUUAUACCAGUAAUGAAUGAAUUGAUGGUGGAUCGAAGGGAGGAAGAAGAAGCUAUAAUUGAUCGACUUAUUGCAAGUUCGUCAAGUUGAAAUAUUGUUUCUAUUGUUGGUAUUCCUGUUAUUGGCAAGACAACGUUGGCUAGAAAAGUGUACAACUGCAAACAUGUUACGUAUUGCUUUCUUCGUCGAGCAUGGUGUACUGUUUCACAAACAUAUGAGAAAAGAGAAUUGUUGCUUCAGAUUGAGCGUGACAUUCAAGGGCAUACUGGUGAAAUUCAUCAAAUGAACGCUGCAGAUCUGAAAGCAAAAUUGUGUCAGUCCUUGCUGAGAAAAAGGUACCUCAUAGUUUUGGAUGAUGUAAGGGAUAUUGGAGCAUGGAAGUAUAUGGAAAAUUCAUUGCCAGAUGACAGGAAUGGAAGUAGAAUUUUGAUAACCAGUCGUCUUAGUGAUUUUGCCUUAGAUAUUAAACCCGGUGAUAGUCAUCCUGUCCCAUUACUCUCUGAUGAUGAAAGUUGGGAGUUACCAGAAAAGAAAAUAUUCCGUGGUGGAAGUUGUCCAGAAGAAUUUCUGGAUGCUGGAAAGAAAAUUGCUAAACAGUGCAAAGGAUUACCUCUUUCAAUUGUUGCAAUAGCUGGUCUCCCGGAAAGGAUGGAGAAGAGACGAGAUUAGUGGGAAAAAAUUGCAGAAAGCUUGAGUUCAGAAAUAAUGCAAGAUACAAAAGCUCACACCAUGGAAAUAUUAGACUUGAGCUACAAGCACCUACCGGGACAUCUAAAAGCGUGCUUCCUUUAUUUUGCAGUUUUUCUUGAAGACAAAGUGAUUCUUGUCAGUAAGUUGAUGCAAUUUUGGCUAGCCGAAGGGUUCAUAAAGAAAUCCCAGUCAAAGAACAGAGAAGAUGUCGCGGAGGACUACUUGAUGGACUUGAUAAACAGAAGCUUGGUUGCAAUAUCCAAAAAAUGUUCAAAUGGAAAGGUCAAAGCAUGUUGUCUUCAUUAUCUGAUAUGUGAUUUUUGCAGGUCAAAAGCAAAAGAAGAGAAUUUCUUACAGCUCGUAACCAGGUGUGAUGAAACCUAUGCUUCUUUUCCUGGUUCAGAUUAUGGUUUAGAGGUUGAUUUUGACCUCCAUUUAGAUCCUGUAUCAUAUGAAGCUUAUCCAUUGAGCAGUUUUUUGAAGCGGAAACAAUUUUUGGGUUCAAGACCAUCUGGACCUGGCACCUGUACUUUGAUAUUCUUUACCUCUACUGAUUCAGAGCCUAGAUGUCCUUAUGACAUCUCAUUCAUUUGUAGAAACUUUUUAAAUUUCUUCGGGUUUUGGAUUCCGAAUGUAUCAACCUGGGUGUUUCUUUUCCAGCUGAACUAGUACUGCUGGUUCGAUUGAGAUAUUUAGCAGUCAGUGGGUUCAUACGGAAUGUUCCACGAUCAAUAGCCAACCUCAAGAAACUAGAAACAUUUUGUGCGACUGGUUUCCAUGGAAGGUCAUCUUACCAGAUAUUAUUUGUCACCUGCCAAGUUUAAGGCAUCUUCAUGUUAAGAAACAUGUUGCUUUCAACUUGCAAGAUGAAGAGGUUGGAAGUUCUUUUGAUCUAUAGAAUUUGGUCAGCUUUUCCUUGCCAGCACUUUCUUAUGGGGAAGAUACGGAGAAGAUACUUAAAAGGUUACCUAACUUGGCCAUGUUGAGAUGCAUAUUCUUGGAAUCAUGGGAUUCUUCCAAGAAUAUGAACCAAUUUCAGAGAUUGAAUUCUCUGUUUCAUUGGAGACACUAGAUAUUUUACUUUGGUUGGUUUCUUAGUGCCAGCUACCUGAUUCUGCCACUGAAUCUAAAGAAUAUGAACCUACCAUGGAAUCAUAUUUCUGUGACAGGAAGGCUACCAAAACUUCAAGUGCUGCCUUUGUUGGGCGAAGAUGGGACAUGAGAGAAGAAGAGUUCCAGGAACUUAAAUUCUUGAAGUUAGAGACCGUGAACAUUGCCCAGUGGAACGCCUGUAGUGAUCACCUUCCCAAAUUUGAAUGAUUAGUGCUACAAAAUUGCAAAAAUCUUGAGGAAAUUCCUUAUGAUUUUGGGGCCAUACCAACCCUCGAGACCAUCGAGGUGCAUUGGUGUGGCCAAUCUGCAGAAGCGUCUGCAAAAGAAAUUGGGGAAGCAACUUAUGAGAUCAAAGUCCUGAUCAGUAGUUCAUAAUUGAGAUCAUCGGUAUAAAUCAUGAAGGACAUUGUGAAAUACCAAAAUAGCAAGCACAUUUCUGUGGAGAAGCUGAUUCAUCCAAGUACAGAAAAAGCACUUGUUUCUGAUUCUUUCUGAUGGUAAAUUCUGGAGGCCAGCAUGUGCAUAUUAUAUGAAGAUUGUCCUGGAGCUGCCUUUACAUUGUCAGUGUGCUGUUUAUGGUGAAUCUCAGGUUAUCAGUUUCAUCUUUUGAGAUUGAUGUCCGAAUCAUUGACCUGGGAUAGUUUUCGUCUUCCCUGUGCAGCCACUUCUUGGAGAACCUGAUUACUGUUGCCGAUUGACCUUAAGCCCAUUAUCAAAUAAUUGCAGCCAAGAAAGAUGCUGCAUUGUUUGUGCAAAAGGUUUCAGCAGCUAAUUGAUGAUGGCAGUUCUCAGAUGGAUGUCCACCUAGCAAACGCUGUGAUAGGUCAAGGCUGAAGGAAGAAGAGACUGGAAAUGCAGAAAAUGUAUACUAUGUUCAUCAAAAUGAGCUUGUCAUACUAAAGACAGGAAAAGAGAAAAUGCCAAAUUGAGCAAGAAUUAAGAAAGAAAUAAAACAAGCUAUUUUGCAAAGAGCCACAUCGAAGUUGCCACCCGUCCAGGAAGUGAAGGCAUAUAUGUAAAAAGCCAUGAAUUGCAAGUUCAUCCCUCUAUUGACUCCUGCAGUCUUGGAUUUUUUUUUUAAAUCAAUGAUUAAUCUUUUCUAUA